CUACGGGCGGCAGCAGUGAGGAAUAUUGCGCAAUGGGGGAAACCCUGACGCAGCGACGCCGCGUGGAUGAUGAAGGCCUUAGGGUCGUAAAAUCCUGUCAGGUGGGAAGAAUUGGAUAUAGAUUAAUACUCUAUUUCUUUGACGGUACCACCAAAGGAAGCACCGGCUAACUCCGUGCCAGCAGCCGCGGUAAUACGGAGGGUGCAAACGUUGUUCGGAAUUACUGGGCGUAAAGCGCGCGUAGGCGGUUUGUUAAGUCAGAUGUGAAAGUCCAUGGCUCAACUAUGGAAGUGCAUUUGAAACGGGCAGAUUUGAGUACUGGAGGGGGGGAUGAAAUUCCCGGUGUAGAGGUAAAAUCCGUAGAUAUCGGGAGGAAUACCGGUGGCGAAGGCGAUCACCUGGCCAGAUACUGACGCUGAGGUGCGAAAGCGUGGGGAGCAAACAGGAUUAGAUACCCGCGUAGUC
rnacentral:rRNA from 1 species